rnacentral:rRNA from 1 species
UACAGAGGGUGCGAUCGUUAAUCGGAAUUACUGGGCGUAAAGGGCGCGUAGGCGGUUGAUUAAGUUGGAUGUGAAAUCCCUGGGCUUAACCUAGGAACUGCAUACAAUACUGAUUGACUAGAGUGCUGUAGAGGGUAGUGGAAUUUCCGGUGUAGCGGUGAAAUGCGUAGAUAUCGGAAGGAACACCAGUGGCGAAGGCGGCUACCUGGACAGACACUGACGCUGAGGCGCGAGAGCGUGGGGAGCAAACAGG